GACGAACGCUGGCGGCGUGCUUAACACAUGCAAGUCGAACGAAGAGCGAUGGAAGCUUGCUUCUAUCAAUCUUAGUGGCGAACGGGUGAGUAACGCGUAAUCAACCUGCCCUUCAGAGGGGGACAACAGUUGGAAACGACUGCUAAUACCGCAUACGAUCCAAUCUCGGCAUCGGGACUGGAUGAAAGGUGGCCUCUAGUUAUAAGCUAUCACUGAAGGAGGGGAUUGCGUCUGGUUAGCUAGUUGGAGGGGUAACGGCCGACCAAGGCGAUGAUCAGUAGCCGGUCUGAGAGGAUGAACGGCCACAUUGGGACUGAGACACGGCCCAGACUCCUACGGGAGGCAGCAGUGGGGAAUCUUCCGCAAUGGAGGGAAGUCUGAACGAGGAACGCCGGGGUGGUGAAGACGGCCUUCGGGUUGGAAAGCUCUGUUAAUCGGGACGAAUGGUUCUUGUACGAAUAGUGCGAGGAUUUGACGGUACCGGAAUAGAAAGCCACGGCUAACUACGUG
rnacentral:rRNA from 1 species